CCAAUCGAACCCGGAGAUAGCUGGUUCUCCCCGAAAUAGCUUUAGGGCUAGCGUCAAGAUGAACUUAUCUGGAGGUAGAGCACUGAAUGUGUGAUGGCCCCAUCCCGGGGUACUGAACACAAUCAAACUCCGAAUGCCAGAUGAGAUGAUUGGCAGUCAGACCGUGAGUGAUAAAGUCCAUGGUCAAGAGGGAAACAGCCCAGACCGCCAGCUAAGGUCCCAAAAUUCUGGCUAAGUGGAAAAGGAUGUGGGGAUGCACAGACAACUAGGAGGUUGGCUCAGAAGCAGCCAUCCUUGAAAGAGUGCGUAACAGCUCACUAGUCGAGUGACCCUGCGCCGAAAAUGUACCGGGGCUAAGCCAGGUACCGAAGCUGCGGAUAUUCCUAGAAUAUGGUAGGGGAGCGUUGCAUGUGGGGUGAAGCCGUAUCGUGAGGAGCGGUGGACAGCAUGGAAGUGAGAAUGCCGGUGUGAGUAGCGAGAUGUAGGUGAGAAUCCUACACACCGAAAGCCCAAGGAUUCCAGGGGAAGGUUCGUCCGCCCUGGGUAAGUCGGGACCUAACGCGAGGCCGAAAGGCGUAGUGGAUGGAAAGCAGGCGAAAGAUUCCUGCACCCGUAUAUGGAGCGAAGGAGUGACGGAGACGGAUAGUGUGACCCUCUUAAUGGAUUGAGGGCGAAGCGAAGCGGCUGGUUACCAGGCAAAUCCGGUAACCAUAAGGCUAGAGCGUGACAGGUAAGCGAAAUCUUCGGAAAGUAGCGAAGCACAUGAUGACGGCUUCCAGGAAAAGCUUCUGGCAAUGCAUAUGCGGCCCGUACCAAAACCGACACAGGUGGGCAGGGAGAGAAUCCCGAGGUGAGCGAGAGAACUGUUGCCAAGGAACUCGGCAAAAUGACUCCGUAAGUUAGCGAGAAGGAGUGCUUAAGCAAUUAAGCCGCAGUGAAGAGGCCCAAGCGACUGUUUAACUAAAACACAGCUCUCUGCGAAGUCGCAAGACGAAGUAUAGGGGGUGACACCUGCCCGGUGCUGGAAGGUUAAGAGGAUCUGUUAAGAGCGAUCUGAAGCAGUGAUCCGAAGCCCCAGUGAACGGCGGCCGUAACUAUAACGGUCCUAAGGUAGCGAAAUUCCUUGUCAGGUAAGUUCUGACCCGCACGAAAGGUGUAACGAUUUGGGCGCUGUCUCGGCAGCAGACUCGGUGAAAUCUUAGUACCUGUGAAAAUGCAGGUUACCCGCAACUAGACGGAAAGACCCCAUGGAGCUUUACUGUAGCUUGAUAUUGAACUUUGGUCGUACCUGUACAGGAUAGGUGGGAGACAUAGAGACGUGCACGCCAGUGUACGAGGAGUCGGCGUUGGGAUACCACUCUUGUGCGAUCGGAGUUCUAACCCAGGUCCAUGAAACUGGAUCGGGGACCGUGUCAGGCAGGCAGUUUGACUGGGGCGGUCGCCUCCCAAAGAGUAACGGAGGCGCCCAAAGGUACGCUCAGAUUGGAUGGAAACCAAUCGUCGAGUGCAAUUGCAGAAGCGUGCUUGACUGUGAGACAAACAAGUCGAACAGGGACGAAAGUCGGGAAUAGUGAUCCGGCGGUGCCGAAUGGAAGGGCCGUCGCUCAACGGAUAAAAGCUACCCUGGGGAUAACAGGCU
rnacentral:rRNA from 1 species